GCCCCGGUAGCUUAACGGAUAAAGCAGCACCCUUCUAAGGUGAAGAUUAGGGGUUCAAUUCCUCUCCGGGGCG
rfam:Candidatus Portnoybacteria bacterium RBG_13_40_8 RBG_13_scaffold_1282, whole genome shotgun sequence.